CUGGGCGCGCACGUGUCGCAGCAGGCGCUGCUGCAGCCGCUCGUCGCGCUGCACCACAGCGCCGGCGAGCGCGCGCCGCGCCCCGCCUACUCGCGCUCAACGCUCAACGCGCCCGACGUCGUGCUGGCCGCCUUCCACUCGCAAGUGUCGGCUAGGACUAAAGACGGCGUGACGCACCAAGGCAUUGGAAUGACCUUCCAGCGGGUAGAGUUGGACACGUGUUACGGGAACAAGACGAUGGAGAAAUUGUAUCCGCUUAGCGAGGGUCAGAUACCUUUAACGGACCUAAUAGACGUACAGCCAGACCAAGUAUUCGAGAGCUCCCUGACCUUCGUCCAGAUAAGAAACCCCGUGCCUGAGGGAUUGGUCACGCUAUGUCCGAUGGAAAUUCGCUCCGUUUUUAUCAACCAGACAUUAAAACACGCAUGAGUGUCACGUUAUUGCUUGUAAUGAAUGUUGUUUUAUCAUUAUGUCACAUGUUUAUUUUUAAAAUGUUUGCGAGCUUUUUGGCUUUGUGUAUAAUUUGUUAUACCCUAUUAUAUCAAUUUAUACUUCACAAAAUGUCCAAAUUUGUAUUCUUAUAAUAAAUGAAAUCAUUAUUUCUUUAGUUUUAGAAAUUGACUGAUGUUGUUGAUGUUAGUGCCCAUUGAAAUGGUUAGUGCCCAUACAUAGUCACUUGAAUUCUUUGAAAAUAAAUGUUUUAACAUAUUCUAGACAGUUUUAAAUAGUAAUAUAUUAAUAAUUAAUGUAUGACAAACAUUUAUAAUGAUAAUCAUAUUUAUUAUAUCACAAUCAAUAGUAAACACUAGUGACGUUUAAUGGGAAUGUCAUUUAAUAUCUUAAAAUUUAUAAAUUUGGUUUCAAUUUUAAUAAAAUUUCUAAACUAAUAAGUAAGGAAACUUCAUGGUGAGUUGUGUCCUACAAUUUAGUUAGAUAUAAUAACAUCUUUUUGUCUUUCCAUAUAUCUAGUUAUAUAACUCUUAAUAUCUUUGAUGUUAAAGGCAAAUUAACUUAAAUAUUCGUAUCAAAUACUAUAAUAGUUUUAAAUUGCAUUAUUUAAGCAAUUACUGUUUGUUUUCUUUUAUUUCUCACCGAUCAUUUUUCACUGUAGGUAAUCUGUUUUAGAACUCUGAAACUGCUAAGUCACGAAAUACCUCCGUAUAUAUCUGUUGUUUUUUUUUUUUCUUUUUGCAUUUAAAAAACUAUCUGUAAUAGUAGAGAGUAGAUACAUCAAAAAUGAUAGAUAUAGAUAUUUUUUAUGUAGUUCUUGUUCCAUAAAAGCUUGUUAAAAUGUUUACACACAAAACGCACAAUAUUUCAAAUAUAUCAACAAUUUAUGCAAUAUAACAUAUGUCUUAUUGUCUUACUUUGAAUAUUUAUUAAUAUUUUCAAGAAAUUUAAUUUAUUAUGUUAAAAAGAACCAAAUGUAUUUACCGCAAAUAUUAUUUUUAUUACCAAAAAAUCACAAUAAAAGUCACUAUAAUAUUAUAGCGUAAUUCUUUUGCGUCCUUAUUUUUAUUUCAUUGACAAAUAUUACAGCAUAAUUUUAGAGUAUAAUAAGUACCAAUUAAUUUUCAAAAAAUCUUAGUUUCACGUUUAUAUGUGUACCUACUAAAUAUUCUUAUAGAUUGCCCAGAAAAGAAAAAAAAUAUCUAAAACCUAAAAAGUUUUUGUAAUAAGUAGAUAUUUUAUAUAUAAGUACUAGAAACAAAAUUAACGCGUAUUUUCGUGAACAGAAAUGUGAUUUUUGAUCUCCUUAAAUUUAUACAUUUAAGUAGUCGUUUUUUGUUUUUUUUCGCAGCUGUCUACAAACGUAAAAUCAGUAAUCUAUAUACACUCGUCUUUUAGUAUAAUAAUGCACUUUGUUAAUAAAUGUUAAUUUUUUUAUAUAUUUUUUAUUUCAAUAUUCCAGUGCUCCAUUCUUUGCCGUAUCAAUAAAUAUUAAAAUCAACUUAUUUAUAACAACGAACUAUUUCAAUAUAAAAAUUGUUGAUUCAUAUCAAGGAUAUAAGACGGUGUUUUAAUUUUGUUGGAAAUAUAUGUAUAUACUUGUCACAGUUUUGAUUUAAAUAAUGUAUUUGAUAGCUUGUAAAUAUAAUUAAUUAAAUAUUGAAAAAUGUUUAACUUCAUUAUCAUUGAUAUUACAUUAAAAUAAUACAACAUUUAGAACUUUUACUCAUUUGAUUCCUACACUCCACGGUUGGUAGUUAAACUAAAGUAACUAAGUGUUAGGUAACUUACAAAAGGUAACCACCAAAAA
rnacentral:misc_RNA from 1 species